AGCGAACGCUGGCGGCAGGCCUAACACAUGCAAGUCGAACGGACCCUUCGGGGUUAGUGGCGGACGGGUGAGUAACACGUGGUAACGUGCCUUUAGGUUCGGAAUAGCUCCUGGAAACGGGUGGUAAUGGCGCAUGGGCCCUUCGGGGGGAAGAUUUAUCGCCUUUAGAGCGGCCCGCGUCUGAUUAGCUAGUUGGUGAGGUAAUGGCUCACCAAGGCGACGAUCAGUAGCUGGUCUGAGAGGAUGACCAGCCACAUUGGGAAUGAGACACGGCCCAAACUCCUACGGGAGGCAGCAGUGGGGAAUCUUGCGCAAUGGGCGAAAGCCUGACGCAGCCAUGCCGCGUGGAUGAUGAAGGUCUUAGGAUUGUAAAAUCCUUUCACCGGUGAAGAUAAUGACUGUAGCCGGAGAAGAAGCCCCGGCUAACUUCGUGCCAGCCGCCGCCGUAA
rnacentral:rRNA from 1 species